rnacentral:lncRNA from 1 species
UAUAUUUUACAUACAUUAGACGUAGUAUAGAAACAUGUUGAUAUGAUCAACAUGUAGUUCUUGCUCUUUAUAUUUUAAUUUCUGAUUUAAUAUCAUGUAAUAAUCAUGUAAUAAGAUCUUAGAUCUAAAGAUUUUUUAGUUUUAUAAGAUAAAUUUUGAUUUAUUUUAUUCUUCUGCUGUCUGAUCUUGAAAAAAUUUUAAGAUGUAAACCUGAAACCCU